rnacentral:rRNA from 1 species
GGUAUAAGCAAGCUUAACUGCGAGACAGACAAGUCGAGCAGGUACGAAAGUAGGUCAUAGUGAUCCGGUGGUUCUGAAUGGAAGGGCCAUCGCUCAACGGAUAAAAGGUACUCCGGGGAUAACAGGCUGAUACCGCCCAAGAGUUCAUAUCGACGGCGGUGUUUGGCACCUCGAUGUCGGCUCAUCACAUCCUGGGGCUGAAGUAGGUCCCAAGGGUAUGGCUGUUCGCCAUUUAAAGUGGUACGCGAGCUGGGUUUAGAACGUCGUGAGACAGUUCGGUCCCUAUCUGCCGUGGGCGUAGGAGAAUUGGUUGGGGCUGCUCCUAGUACGAGAGGACCGGAGUGGACGCACCACUGGUGUUCCGGUUGUGUCGCCAGACGCAUUGCCGGGUAGCUAAGUGCGGAAGAGAUAAGUGCUGAAAGCAUCUAAGCACGAAACUUGCCAAGAGAUGAGUUCUCCCUGUCUUUAAGACAGUAAGGGUUGUUUAAGACGAAGACGUAGAUAGGUCUGGUGUGUAAGUGAUGUGAGUCAUUGAGCUAACAGAUACUAAUUGCCCGAGAGGCUUAACUAUACAACGCUCAAG